UACGUAGGGUGCGAGCGUUAAUCGGAAUUACUGGGCGUAAAGUGUGCGCAGGCGGCCGCGCAAGUCGAGUGUGAAAGCCCCGGGCUUAACUUGGGAAUUGCGCUCGAAACUACGUGGCUGGAGUGUGGCAGAGGAAGGUGGAAUUCCAGGUGUAGCGGUGAAAUGCGUAGAGAUCUGGAGGAACACCGAUGGCGAAGGCAGCCUUCUGGGCCAACACUGACGCUCAUGCACGAAAGCGUGGGGAGCAAACGGG
rnacentral:rRNA from 1 species